GGGGCUGUGGCUCAGUGGCAGAGCACCUGCUCGUCAUGCAGAAGGUCCCAGGUUCAAUCCCUGGCUGCAUCU